AACGCUAGCUACAGGCUUAACACAUGCAAGUCGAGGGGCAGCAUGAAGUUUGCUUGCAAACUUUGAUGGCGACCGGCGCACGGGUGAGUAACACGUAUCCAACCUGCCUUCCACUCGGGAAUAGCCUUUCGAAAGAAAGAUUAAUGUCCGAUGGCACUGGUUUCUCGCAUGAGAGACUUUUUAAAGAAUUUCGGUGGAAGAUGGGGAUGCGUUCCAUUAGGCAGUUGGCGGGGUAACGGCCCACCAAACCGACGAUGGAUAGGGGUUCUGAGAGGAAGGUCCCCCACAUUGGAACUGAGACACGGUCCAAACUCCUACGGGAGGCAGCAGUGAGGAAUAUUGGUCAAUGGACGAGAGUCUGAACCAGCCAAGUAGCGUGAAGGACGACUGCCCUAUGGGUUGUAAACUUCUUUUAUAUGGGAAUAAAGUGAAGCACGUGUGCUUUUUUGUAUGUACCGUAUGAAUAAGGAUCGGCUAACUCCGUGCCAGCAGCCGCGGUAAUACGGAGGAUCCGAGCGUUAUCCGGAUUUAUUGGGUUUAAAGGGAGCGUAGGCGGAAGUUUAAGUCAGUUGUGAAAGUUUGCGGCUCAACCGUAAAAUUGCAGUUGAUACUGGAUUUCUUGAGUGCGGUAUAGGUAGGCGGAAUUCGUGGUGUAGCGGUGAAAUGCUUAGAUAUCACGAAGAACUCCGAUUG
rnacentral:rRNA from 1 species